AAAUUGUGUGACUGUUGAUCAUGGCAAUUUCUACUCUAGUUGUGCGGCUGUGUGACCCAAGGUCGGCAGCAUUUUUCUUGACUGUAGCUGCCCAUCUUGCACAACUGUCUCCUGGUAGACGUAAGACCUACAUUAAUAAGUAUGAACCAGUGUUAAGAGUUUGUUUUAGAGGUAUUACCCGACUGUCUAUUCAGUCAGGACAAUGAUUUAAAAACAUUUUGUUAACAGAUGAUUAGACAUUUGACAUUUUCAUCAUACAUUAUUUACUUGCUUGUUUAGCCCUCGGCCUCACCUUUUGAGGCAUUUGGAGAUGCCGCAAAAGAUUACAUAUAUAAAGUGAGAAUGAAGUUGUGGGGGAGGAGGUUAACUCAAAGAACAACACAGACAAUAUGAGAAGACAUUAAUCAAAUACUGGAGGAAAGGCUUUGAAAUGCAGAUAUCAUCGAGAACAAUUCACAAAAUACAUCGGAAACAAACGGCUGCAGGCAGUGCUAGGAAACCCUGGGAUGAAAUCUGAUCUCCGUGUCUGACUAAGACAGGGCCAGCAGCCAAGAGCUUUUCCACCCCUGUCUGUCAGUGCCACCCAGCUACCGAGAUAGAGCAGACAGCAGUUCCAUCUACGGGAGCCGGGUGGUAUUACCAAGGAGGGACACAUGGUCAGCCAUCCCCAUGGCACAAGCCCAGGUGGUCAGUGAAGCCAGUGCUGUGAGUUCAUGAUCCCCUGGGAAGCAAUCCCAGCUUCCUCAAACAUUCAUCUCCUGCAGGACUGACUACAAAAUCAAUACAGUGCUACCUCCUGAUUCCACGCUUCACUGACCGUGUGAUCUUUGGGAACGUACUCUUCUGCCUAAUGCAUCUGAUACUAAUCAUCCCGCAAUUCCCCAAAGCUGGGGAUCUGCUUUUCAAAUUUUAAAAAAAUGUAAAUAAAAAGAAGAUAUGUACAUGUAGCAUCAAUUUGGCUCUAGGUGACCUGAGUCCUGGAUAUUAAUUUAAAAUCAGCUCCAACACUGUGUGACAAAGUUCCAAGGCAGAGGAGGCAAAGGAGGUACUGUAGUGAAACACAUACAUGAGCAAUGGUGGGUUUGUUUGGCUCGCCAAAGAACUCCCCCUUCCCUGAUCUUGUGGAGAUUUUGUGCACCUCAGUCUGUGACCCAUAAAUCACUUGAUGUUGAGUGUCUUAGCUUGAAGUAAAGCAAGUAUGUUAUUUGUUUGAGUGUGUGUGAGUGGGCAGGUAAUACAAUCAAUGUGCAGACAAAAUUUGAGAAAAUGUCCCCACAAAGAAAAAACAACGUUGUGGAGACGUCCCGACUUUGUAAAACGCAAUUUUAAGAACUACAAAUUUAAGUGCCAAAAUAUUUCGUUUGUUGUCGACUUUAACUCUGUGUGAAUUUUUGUCUGACUGGAGUUAGAAAUAGUAAAUACAAAUAUAGUGAGAGUCAAUGAGAAGUCCCCACAAAUAUAGGAAUGCAAACAUGUGUGUGCUGGAGAAGAUAGGGCUAGAAAAAACAAAACUUUAUGCCAACUGGCAACUGCUACCCCCAGAGGAUAAAGCAUCCACCAUUCACAUGAAGGUGGAAGUUGUGAGGAGUAGGGUUGCCACCCGGAACACUGCGAAACAGAACAGGAUUUUGAAAUUGCCUUUAAACUGAAGGAAAUCAACACGUGAAUUGAGCGCCAAACCUUUGCUAAAUUGAUUCUGUUGAUUAAUUAUCUCGAAGCAGCAUGACAAAACAAUAAUAUCUUUUAACAAAUUAAAUAAAGUACCAUCAUCAGUAUUUAUUUAUUUAUUAAUAGUUUUAAAAACAUAUAUUUUAAAGUUUAUUUGUAUUUUCUAAUAGUAUAUCGCCUUCUCCCGCUCAAAUCAUUAGUACUGACCAGCUGUUCAUUAUUCCUGACACCAGACAGCAUGAACACCUGAUCAGUGGUAUCAUUUAAUUGGGAGAGUCAGUGUAAAUUAGUGUUAUAUAUUACCAAUUAACAGAAUAAAAAUAGCAACUAUUAAAUAUUGAUAACUGAAAUACUAAUUUUACAAAAUAAAAGAAGUAUC